rnacentral:ncRNA from 2 species
UUUUAAAUAAAACUAAAGUUUCGUAUAACCCCAAUAAUAUGGUUUUGGGGUCUCUACUAGGAACCUAUAAUUCCUAAUUACGAAGAAAAUAUAUAUUUUU